rnacentral:lncRNA from 1 species
AAGAAAAUGACCAAAAUAGCCCCUUUUUAUUUUGAAAUUUUUUUUUAUUUUUUAUUUUUUUUAAAUUUGAAACCAUAUCCUCAAAACCCCACCCCUUAACUCUAAACCCUAAUUAUAGAUUAGUUAACCCUAGGGUAUAAAUGUAUUUUUACUUUUUAAUAAAACUUCUUUUGGUCAUUUUUUCAUUGAGGACUAUUUUUUGACAAAACUUAAAAUAUGACUAUCCUAGGGAAUUUAUUUAUAUUGUAUAUUUAUUUAUUCUAAUUUUCUUGCUUUUAUAUCAAAUAGUAAUAUUACGAUAGAUGUUUAAUGUAAUAUUUCUAUUUCUUAUAUUUUAUAUUUGCUUAUUAUUUAUUUAACUAUACAUUUUCCAUUUAACUAUACAUUUUCCAAGUAGAUGUUUAAGUAAGGAAUGCUUCCAAAACGCUGCAGCUUUGAUGGCUUGGUCGUUGGUGAGUGGUGACUUGUUCUCCAAAGUGGGAAUGUAUCCAGUUUUGGCAAGUUCCCACACAAUAAGAUCCUCCUGAUCAUGUGGGCUCUGCUGCAUGGUAAGAACUCUUCUAGUCCUCCUGGAUCGUUGGAUAUACUUCCCAUAUGAUUAUAAAUCUCUUCUGAUCGCCUUUUUUUGGUUUGGCUAAGAUUGAACCGGUGAGACUCCAAAUUAGGCAAUUGCAGAACUGGUUUGACCGGUUUAGGGAAAUGGACCAUAAUUCCGUGGACUUUUCUCCUCAUUCUUGGCUUGUUGGAAAUCUAAGAGCUCCAUCUUUAAUUCCAUGAGUUGGUUUGGGUCAGAACGCUUCUUCGUUGGGCUUGAAACAACUUCUAAACUCGAGAUACUCGCAGAUGGAUGGGCUGGAGAACCUCUAGUUUGUAAAAUUCAUAUCUUCCUUCUCUGAGUAUCUUUAAAGAUGAUUCCAAAUGGGCUUGACUCCUUGUUGAGUGUAGAAUGUAUGAAAAUUGGUUUCAUGGAAAUAUUCCUCAUGGUUGGUGAGAUACUUUGUUUUGACUCAACACAUAUCCUGGUUGGUCUUUCGGUUAGCCGAUUGGUGCAACUGGUUGGCCUCUAGUUCAGCUACUGAUUUGAUGGCCGCAUCAAUUUAUUUUUUCAUAUUUUGUAUAUUUACUUAUUCUUAAUUUUUUUGCAUUUAUAUCAAUGAUUAUAUUACGAUAUAUAUUUAAUGUAUUUUUUUCUUUUGUACUAUAUUUACUUAUUAUUUAUUUUUAUAUUUACUUAUUCUAAAAUUACGAUAAAUGUUCAAUACAAUUUUUCUACUUCUUAUAUUGUGUAUUUACUUAUUAUUUAUUUUAUUAUACAUUUUCAGAUAGGUGUUUAAUUUAAUUUUUUCAUUUUUUAAUUCUAUAUUUACUUAUUGUAUAUUUACUUAUUCUUUCCCCAAUUUUCUUUCUUUUAUAUCAAAUGAUAAUAUUAUGAUAGAUGUUUAAUUUAAUAAUUCUAUUUAUUAUAUUAUAUAUUUGCUUAUUAUUUAUUUUUCCUUAUAUAAGUAUAUUUACUUAUUAUCGAUUAUGUAAGAUUUCUAUUUCUUAUAUUUUAUAUUUACUUAUUAUUUAUUUUUCCUUAUAUUAUAUAUUUACUAAUGAUUUAUUUUUUAGUAACAAUGCCACAUGAAUUCUUUCGGAAGAAGUAUUUUUUGCUGACGUGGACGCUCUAUGGAGCUUCAAAAUGUCUAUUUUAUUAGUAUAUAUUUAUUUUUUAGUAACAAUGCCACAUGGAUUCUUUCGGAAGAAGUGACGCUCUAUGGAGCUUCAAAAUGUCUAUUUUAUCCUUUAUAUACUAAAGCGCAAGUCGCUUGGCGAAUAAAAACUAGACAUGUGGCAAAAAAAAUUAAAAAAAAAAUAAUUCUUUUCAUCUCCCUUUUUUCGGCAGUUAUAAUAUUCAACAACCAACUUCCUAAUUUUGCUAUCUUUUACGUUAGCUUAUAAAUUUGCUGUCUUUUCUUCAUCUCUUAUAUAAAUUAUCCUAAAACCAGAUGAUACUUUAACUUUUCAAAACUCUUAUACUCAUUUUUUUUUCGUCGACAACUACUCUUAUUCAAAAGCGAGCUUUCUCAAAUAGUGUGAUCUACAAAUGUUUAGUACAUAUCUAAUGUAUACGAAGGAUUCAUCCAGCUGGUGGUGAAUGAUACAUGUGUCUUUUUCUACUAUAUUACUAUAUCAACCUGGUGAUAUGGAUGAUUGUCUACAUGUGUCUAUUUC